rnacentral:misc_RNA from 1 species
GAAAUGCGAUAAGUAAUGUGAAUUGCAGAAUUCAGUGAAUCAUCGAAUCUUUGAACGCACAUUGCGCCCCCUGGCAUUCCGGGGGGCACACCUGUCCGAGCGUCAUAAGGACACAAAUCAGGCUCCGGCUUGGAGAUGGGCUCUCGACGCGCCUUCCCUAGGGGAGGCGCGGGCCCCAAAACCACCCAGCGGCAUGCGGACCUUAUGCCCCAGGCGUCGUGAAACCUUUCUCCGUCGAGGGCGGAAAGGGUCCGGCAGCCAGCUGCGAACCGAACCCCCGCACGCGCGAGAGCGCGUCGGGAAAUUGACGCGAGUUUGACCUCGGAUCAGGUGGGGAUACCCGCUGAACUUAAGCAG